rnacentral:rRNA from 1 species
AACACAUGCAAGACGAACGAAGCACUUAACCGGAUUUCUUCGGGAUGAAAGUUUUGUGACUGAGUGGCGGACGGGUGAGUAACGCGUGGGUAACCUGCCUCAUACAGGGGGAUAACAGUUAGAAAUGACUGCUGAUACCGCAUAAGACCACAGGAUUGCAUGAUCCGGUGGUAAAAACUCCGGUGGUAUGAGAUGGACCCGCGUCUGAUUAGGUAGUUGGUGGGGUAACGGCUCACCAAGCCGACGAUCAGUAGCCGACCUGAGAGGGUGACCGGCCACAUUGGGACUGAGACACGGCCCAAACUCCUACGGGAGGCAGCAGUGGGGAAUAUUGCACAAUGGGGGAAACCCUGAUGCAGCGACGCCGCGUGAGCGAUGAAGUAUUUCGGUAUGUAAAGCUCUAUCAGCAGGGAAGAAAAUGACGGUACCUGACUAAGAAGCACCGGCUAAAUACGUGCCAGCAGCCGCGGUAAUACGUAUGGUGCAAGCGUUAUCCGGAUUUACUGGGUGUAAAGGGAGCGUAGACGGAGAGGCAAGUCUGAUGUGAAAUCCCGGGGCUCAACCCCGGGGCUGCAUUGGAAACUGUUUUUCUAGAGUGUCGGAGAGGUAAGUGGAAUUCCUAGUGUAGCGGUGAAAUGCGUAGAUAUUAGGAGGAACACCAGUGGCGAAGGCGGCUUACUGGACGAUGACUGACGUUGAGGCUCGAAAGCGAGGGGAGCAAACAGGAUUCGAUUCCCUGGUAGUCCCCCCCGCAAACGAUGAACUGCUAGGUGUCGGGAGGCAAAGCCCCUCGGUGCCGCAGCAAACGCAAUAAGCAGUCCACCUGGGGAGUACGUUCGCAAGAAUGAAACUCAAAGGAAUUGACGGGGACCCCCACAAGCGGUGGAGCAUGUGGUUUAAUUUGAAGCAACGCGAAGAACCUUACCUGCCCUUGACAUCCGGCUGACUGGCGAGUAAUGUCGCCUUUCCUUCGGGACAGCCGAGACAGGUGGUGCAUGGUUGUCGUCAGCUCGUGUCGUGAGAUGUUGGGUUAAGUCCCGCAACGAGCGCAACCCUUAUCUUUAGUAGCCAGCAUUUCGGAUGGGCACUCUAGAGAGACUGCCAGGGAUAACCUGGAGGAAGGUGGGGAGGACGUCAAAUCAUCAUGCCCCCUAUGGGCAGGGCUACACACGUGCUACAAUGGCGUAAACAAAGGGAGGCAAGCCUGCGAGGGUGAGCAAAUCCCAAAAAUAACGUCUCAGUUCGGAUUGUAGUCUGCAACUCGACUACAUGAAGCUGGAAUCGCUAGUAAUCGCGAAUCAGAAUGUCGCGGUGAAAAAGGUCCCGGGUCUUGCACA